rnacentral:rRNA from 1 species
UACGUAGGGUGCAAGCGUUAAUCGGAAUUACUGGGCGCAAAGCGUGCGCAGGCGGUUAUGCAAGACAGAUGUGAAAUCCCCGGGCUCAACCUGGGAACUGCAUUUGUGACUGCAUAGCUAGAGUACGGUAGAGGGGGAUGGAAUUCCGCGUGUAGCAGUGAAAUGCGUAGAUAUGCGGAGGAACACCGAUGGCGAAGGCAAUCCCCUGGACCUGUACUGACGCUCAUGCACGAAAGCGUGGGGAGCAAACAGG